UGCGUAGGCGGUCGGGUAAGUCUGAUGUGAAAUCUCGGAGCUUAACUCCGAAACGGCAUUGGAUACUGCCUGGCUCGAGGUUGGGAGGGGGGACUGGAAUUCUCGGUGUAGCAGUGAAAUGCGUAGAUAUCGAGAGGAACACCAGUGGCGAAGGCGAGUCCCUGGACCAAUCCUGACGCUGAGGCACGAAAGCCAGGGGAGCAAACG
rnacentral:rRNA from 1 species